rnacentral:rRNA from 1 species
UUCGGUUGAUUUUUUAGUUUGAGAGCGGCGAACGGGUGAGUAACACGUUGGUAUCUGCCCCCAAGUCAGGGAUAGCCAUUGGAAACGAUGAUUAAUACCGGAUAGUCUCUUCGGAGUAAAGAUUUAUUGCUUGGGGAGGAGCCUGCGUUCUAUCAGCUUGUUGGAGAGGUAACGGCUCACCAAGGCUUCGACGGGUAGCUGGUCUGAGAGGAUGAUCAGCCACACUGGGACUGAGAUACGGCCCAGACUCC